GCGGGUAUGGUGUAAUGUAAACACGUCGGUCUCCAAAACCGAAGAUAGAGGUUAGAUUCCUCUUACCUGUGCCA
rnacentral:tRNA from 2 species